rnacentral:rRNA from 1 species
AUGGAAACCAGGAUGCUAGCUGCCGUGCGCGCCGCCGACCGCGAAUUGCUUUACAGCUUGUACUACCCGGCUGGCGGGCGCGCCCCGGCGGCGGCGGUGGUCGGCUGCGUCUGCCUCGACUACCUUAGGUGCAGCGAGUGCGAGCGCAUCCUGGGCCAAUCCUUCCUCGCAAUCGAGCUCAACGUCCGCAAGAAGCAGCGCACGGAUCCUCCCGUGCCGGCGGCGCGCGUCGGGCAAGAGCUAGGGCAGGGGGGCGGGCCGGGCUCGCACGGGGCCGAGGGGUCCGACGCGGCUCUCUCCGGCAUGGCGCACCGGGUCGUGCCGGGCUCGCACCCACCGUCGGACGGGGCCGAGGGGUCCGCUGCGGCAGUCUCCGGCAUGCCGUACCGGCUCGUGCUAGGCUCGCAUCCAUCGUCGGACGGGGCGGAGGGGUCCGACGCGGCAAUCUCUACCAUGGCGCACCGGAUCGCGCCGGGCAUGAACAGCGGGGUCGAGGUGUUCGAGGCGGCCAUCUCCGGCAUGACGGCUAGGCUCGGGCUCGCCGCCGCCGUGGGGGAGCGUGCCAAGGAGGUGUUCAGGAGGAUGGAGAGGGCCAACGCGUGGCAUUACGGCAGGGGCUGGACCAAGGACCUCAGCAAGGGGCUGGCCUACGCGGCCUGCCUCUCGAUCGCGUGCAGCACAGACGGCUCGGCGCUGUCGCCGAGGGAGCUGGCCCGGGCAGCAGCCGCGGACGGCGGCGCGGCCUCGCCGAAGGAUAUUGCCACACUGGUCGCGCACAUCAAGAGGCGGCUCGGGGAGGAGGAGGCAGCCGGCAGGGCAGACCGGCUUGUCCCAGGCUCUGACGGGGUCGAGUGGUCCGGCACUGCAGUCUCCAGCAUGGUGGACCGGCUCUGGCCGGGCUCGCAACCCCCGUCAGACGGGGACGAGGGGUUCGAGGCGGCCAUCUCCGGCAUGGCGGCUCGGCUCGGUCUCCCGGCCGCGGUAGGUGAGCGUGGCAAGGAGGUUUUCCGGAAGAUGGAGGAGGCCAGUGCGUGGCCGCAUGGCCCGGGCCGGUCCAAGUUCCGAAGCAACGCCCCGCUGGUCUACGCUGCCUGCCUCUCCACCGCGUGCCACAACGAGGACUCGGCGCGGUCUCUGAGGGAGCUGGCCCUGGCGGCAGCGGGAGACGGCGGCCCGAAGUCGAUGAAGGAGAUCGCCAGGCUGGUAUCGCACAUCAGGAGCCAGCUCGAAGAGGCCGGGCAGCUGACAUGCAUCGGCAUGGUGAGCGUCUCCAGCUUCCUGCGCCGCUUCAGCGCGUAUAUCGGGCUGGCAGAGGCGGAGGAGACGGUGGCUCUGGAGGCGGCGCGGCGGCUCGAGGAGGGCGCCCUCGACGUGCCGCACAGCCCGGGGUCCGUGGCGGCCGCCAUUGCCUGCCUGACCCUGGAGCGCGCCGGCGCCUGGAAGCCCGGCAAGGACGUGGCAGCGGCCACCGGAGUCUCCGACAUGACCAUCUACAUGGUGUGCAGGAAACUGCGCCCGCAUGCCGAGCUGCUCUUUGGCUGA